UACGUAGGGUGUAAGCGUUGUCCGGAAUUAUUGGGCGUAAAGAGCUCGUAGGCGGUGUGUCGCGUCGGCCGUGAAAACCUGCAGCUUAACUGUGGGCGUGCGGUCGAUACGGGCAUCACUGGAGUUCGGCAGGGGAGACUGGAAUUCCUGGUGUAGCGGUGAAAUGCGCAGAUAUCAGGAGGAACACCGGUGGCGAAGGCGGGUCUCUGGGCCGAUACUGACGCUGAGGAGCGAAAGCGUGGGGAGGCGAACAGG
rnacentral:rRNA from 1 species